UACGUAGGGUGCGAGCGUUGUCCGGAAUUAUUGGGCGUAAAGGGCUCGUAGGCGGUCUGUCACGUCGGGAGUGAAAACUCAGGGCUUAACCCUGAGCCUGCUUCCGAUACGGGCAGACUAGAGGUAUGCAGGGGAGAACGGAAUUCCUGGUGUAGCGGUGAAAUGCGCAGAUAUCUGGAGGAACACCAGUGGCGAAGGCGGCUCUCUGGGACGGUACUGACGCUGAGACGCGAAAGCGUGGGGAGCGAACAGG
rnacentral:rRNA from 1 species